GAUGAACGCUGGCGGCGUGCCUAAUACAUGCAAGUCGAGCGAACAGACGAGGAGCUUGCUCCUCUGACGUUAGCGGCGGACGGGUGAGUAACACGUGGAUAACCUACCUAUAAGACUGGGAUAACUUCGGGAAACCGGAGCUAAUACCGGAUAAUAUAUUGAACCGCAUGGUUCAAUAGUGAAAGACGGUUUUGCUGUCACUUAUAGAUGGAUCCGCGCCGCAUUAGCUAGUUGGUAAGGUAACGGCUUACCAAGGCGACGAUGCGUAGCCGACCUGAGAGGGUGAUCGGCCACACUGGAACUGAGACACGGUCCAGACUCCUACGGGAGGCAGCAGUAGGGAAUCUUCCGCAAUGGGCGAAAGCCUGACGGAGCAACGCCGCGUGAGUGAUGAGGGUCUUCGGAUCGUAAAACUCUGUUAUGAGGGAAGAACAAAUGUGUAAGUAACUAUGCACGUCUUGACGGUACCUAAUCAGAAAGCCACGGCUAACUACGUG
rnacentral:rRNA from 1 species